rnacentral:rRNA from 1 species
CCUACGGGGGGCAGCAGUGAGGAAUAUUGGUCAAUGGUCGGGAGACUGAACCAGCCAAGCCGCGUGAGGGAUGAAGGUACAGAGUAUCGUAAACCUCUUUUGUCAGGGAACAAAGGCGGGGACGUGUCCCCGGAUGAGUGUACCUGAAGAAAAAGCAUCGGCUAACUCCGUGCCAGCAGCCGCGGUAAUACGGGGGAUGCGAGCGUUAUCCGGAUUUAUGGGGUUUAAGGGGUGCGCAGGCGGUCUGUUAAGUCAGCGGUCAAAGCCCGGGGCUCAACCCCGGCCCGCCGUUGAAACUGGCAGUCUCGAGUUGGAGAGAGGGAUGCGGAAUGCGCGGUGUAGCGGUGAAAUGCAUAGAUAUCGCGCAGAACUCCGAUUGCGAAGGCAGCAUGCCGGCUCCACACUGACGCUGAGGCACGAAAGCGUGGGUAUCGAACAGGAUUAGAGACCCUUGUAGUC